rnacentral:tmRNA from 2 species
GGGGGCGUACCGGUUUCGACGGGGGUCCUGAAGCAUGAUAAGCGGGUAGCGGUGAGGGCCGCUAUAAAACCUCAAACUUUAAAAUUAAACGCUAAUAAUAACGAAUUAGUAGCUGCCUAACUUAGGCGGUCGUCCUCCCUUUGAAUACCACGGCUUAGGACAGGGCGUCAAUUAGUGGUGAACGUGCGUAUGGUAAGCUUUGCCCAUACCAUGAACAAUGAAGCUACUGAACCUGCCAGCUUGCCUGUGAGCUUGCAGGGAAGGGAAAUUUGAUCAUAGGCUGCACCCGGAGAAAGUUGUGUGGACGGUUUUUCGGACAGGAGUUCGACUCUCCUCGCCUCCACCA